GUUGAUUCAACCACCCGUCUCUCCCCUCCCAAAGGUUAGGAGGUGUGGAACUGAAAGUUCCAACUUUCUAAUCACGUGGUUGGUUUUCUUGGCAACCAGGCCCUAUCCUUAAGUGCAGUCCAAAAAUCACCUAAUUAAUGUAAGAAAAGACACCAUUAUUGCUCUCAUCACUUAGGAAAUUCCAAAAGUUUUAGGAAUGCUGAGCCAGAAUUGGGGAUGAAGGCCAAAAGUAUAUUUCUUAGUCUAAACCACAGUAUCACAAAAACACUGCUUUUUAAUCUGCCUCACAGAUUAUUCUCUCAGUCUUCUUUACUGGGUCUUCUUCAUGUCCCAACCGAAGCUGGUGUAUUGCUAGAAGAAACUGAACUGAAUAAGGGUAUCGUAUUCCCUUAGCAUCUUGCUGAUUUAGAUUUUCCAGUACUUAAAAAUUCUGGUGUCUAUCAUUUAAUGAUAGACAUAUUUCCCUUUUAUAAAAUGAGCGCGUCUCUCUAAGCAUAGCCAGACACACCAACCCAGGAAUAUCUCCUCAAAGAAGCAGAAAGCCUCCGACACCUACCGGAAACCAACUCCACAGGCCUUGUGGGAAAUGUAGUGUCAGAUGAAUAGCCUGCACCGCAGGGGAGCCUGGGAACUCCGAGCGGGUAGUUACUUCCGCACACGCGCAGUGGGGCAGUAGUCGGUAUUCCGUAAUUUUCCAACCAGCAUCGCCUGAAGUGAGAGUGGGUUUCUCCCAGAUGUAGGAGAGCUCUAACCUGAUAAACAGCUUAGAGUCGGAGCUGGGAGCGUGAUGGUGCGAGGCUGGCAGAUCUCUGUGCAAGUGCUGCAGAAAUGAUCAACUUCAAGGGAUCAGUGACACUCCAGGAUGUGGCUGUGGAAUUCACCCCAGAGGAGUGGCAGCUUCUUGACUGUGAUCAGAGAACCUUGUAUUGGGAUGUGAUGUUGGAGAACUUUAGAAACCUCAUCUCAGUGGG